GUGGCUGCCAUGAGACCCAGAAUCCCACCAUCCCUGAUUUGCAACACAAACAGAAAGCGUUCCAUAGGAGCUGUCCCUUGGGUAUGAAGUAAGAAGAACCUAGAUCAUAACAGUGCAACUUUAAAAAUGGAAAAGAAGGGGUGAAUCCAGAAACAUCCUCAAGAAGGAACUGAUUGACCGGCUAUGGGGAAGGAGUGAAUUAGAAGCAGCAAAAAUGCCUGAGGUUUUUAACCUGAAGGUGUCACUGACAAGGAAAAGGAAAUCAGGAAAGGAAAAAAGAUGAACGCUAGAACAAAUUAUUUCUUAGUAAUUAUACAAGAAGGUGGGUCAAAGCUAUGUUUUUCUCCAAAGAAGGAAAAAU
rnacentral:lncRNA from 1 species